GACGAACGCUGGCGGCGUGCCUAAUACAUGCAAGUAGAACGCUGAAGAGAGGAGCUUGCUCUUCUUGGAUGAGUUGCGAACGGGUGAGUAACGCGUAGGUAACCUGCCUUGUAGCGGGGGAUAACUAUUGGAAACGAUAGCUAAUACCGCAUAACAAUGGAUGACACAUGUCACUUAUUUGAAAGGGGCAAUUGCUCCACUACAAGAUGGACCUGCGUUGUAUUAGCUAGUAGGUGAGGUAAUGGCUCACCUAGGCGACGAUACAUAGCCGACCUGAGAGGGUGAUCGGCCACACUGGGACUGAGACACGGCCCAGACUCCUACGGGAGGCAGCAGUAGGGAAUCUUCGGCAAUUGGGGCAACCCUGACCGAGCAACGCCGCGUGAGUGAAGAAGGUUUUCGGAUCGUAAAGCUCUGUUGUAAGUCAAGAACGGGUGUGAGAGUGGAAAGUUCACACUGUGACGGUAGCUUACCAGAAAGGGACGGCUAACUACGUG
rnacentral:rRNA from 1 species